rfam:Picea glauca, whole genome shotgun sequence.
CCUUGCAAGAAUUGGCACUAACACACCGGAUCCCAUCAGAACUCCGCAGUUAAGCGUGCUUAGGCUAAAGUAGUACUAGGAUGGGUGACCUCUUGGGAAGUGCUAGUGUUGCACCCU